UUUCUAAUCAAAUUUCCUUUCAAGGCAUCAACUGAAUAUUCAAUUUAAUAGGAAAAUAAAAAAUGUCAGCAGUUUCAUGCAUUGACACAUAAAUUAAGCACAUCUAGUUCACCACAAUUACAUCAUAUGAUUACCUAUGAUAUAAAUUUUAGUUUCCUGUAUGUGAAGAUUCCAUAGAACACCGUCCAAAAAACUGCACAUAAGAUAAAAUAGGAAGUGAUUAAAGGAAGUGACAUCCACAACUUGUAUGAAUUUUUGACAUCAUAGGAUCUUGUAUUUUGGUAUAAACACACAAAGAAUCUAGUUCAAGAUAUGAAAUAGUUUCAUCCUAUGGAAAACAGCAAAACUCAAACAUUUUUCUAGCACAAACAUGACAGUUGUAUAGAAACCAAAAUGUUUGGUGUUAUGUUGAAGUGGUUUACAACAUUAUUACUAGUCUUUUGGGCUCCCAGUCACAUGUGUCAAUGUUCUUAUCCAAUGUACUAGCACUUUCUGCAAAAAAAAUAGAACAAGUUAGAUGUCACAAAGAUGGUGCUGUUUCCAGUCUUACAUGGUCAAUCAGUUGGAAAACAUAUAUGCAGAACACCUAUUUAAUCACAAAUUGAGUGGCCCGAGACAUGCAACAAAAUAGAUGCGUCGUUGACAGAACACCUGUUUCUACUAGUAUUGAUUUUAGACUUCCAGUGUGUAUCUAUAGCAAGAUUCCUGUUGAGUACAAAAUAUUGAACAGUAAUGCCAGGUCUAACCACUUUACACAUGGAAAGGUACAUUUCUCCUAAACAAUGCAAUCCGGUUAUAACUUAAUUAGUCUAUGAAAGAUGAUGCAGGACCAUAGAGAUAAUCCAGGAUGUGAUUCCAUUUUGCUUGUCUUAACGAAAAAGGAGCAUUAGAUCAAGGAAAAAGAAGUAUUGGACUAUGCGUAGGAAUACAAGUGAAGGCAACACCUAUGCUAUUCAUAAAUGAUUCUACGACUGGCAAACCAAGACACUGUUUCAAGUACUUGCCCAAUAACAAAAGACUAAGCUUUAGAAUACACAGGACAUGCAAAAGCUUAGUUCCUGGACACAUGCGCACACUGGACAUGUAAAAGGUUCCACUAAUUGUAUGCAUAAAAAGGUUAUGCACAUUCAGGACAAGCAUAGUUUGUAUCUUUACUGCAGUUUCAUUUGCAUGAAGCACAUAGGAAACAAAUUUCUAAAUAAAGUUUCAAUGUUCUGAAAUAGCAACAAGCAUGUAUCCGAAAGCAAAAUACUAAAUCCAAGACUUAACUACCAAGAUAAACAGCCGCCCACACCUCACCCACGCUAAUAUGCAAUGGUAUCUAUCUAUUAUAUACUAAAAGGAAAAUAGGGAUCAAGAAUAGAGGAUUUACUAGAAAUUCUCACAUUAAUUAGACACAUCGGACCGUUAGUUUGGUGGACCCUCCAUUAAUGAGUAAAUUACGACCAUUAGAAAGGCGGACCCACACCAAUUUUGAUGUAUGAUGUCCUGGACUUGAACUCUUGAUUAGUUCGGUAGAUAAAAAGAGAUCAUUUUUAACUCUGCUUGCGUGACAACAAAACAGCGGCGUCCGUGGUUAUCCAGGAAAUAAAAGAGCAGCGUCCCAUAGAAAAAAGCAGUGGCAACUAUGUUCAUUCACAAAGGGAAAAAACAGCGGCAAGGGCAUGGUCAACAUGCCAUAUCGUGGGCGUUGUAGGCGGUGAACUUCGAUCAAAAAGGAAAAGAAAAGAAGGAAGUAACGGCUCGCUCAAUACGGCAUGCCGUGGGCGUAGUAGGCGGGCACUCAUCACGGCUCAUAGUUGCAUACUCCUGUUGAGGUCCGACCCCACUGAAGAACGCAUGAUAAUCACACGAUGCGCCGAUGUGCAGCAUGAACACACUCCAGACCCUCGAUGCCCAAGAUAAAGAAACACUAGCAGAAGAAAUCAGAAUUCCAGGUAGAAUAAGCAUAAUAUCUCCUUUAAAUAUCAAUUAUCGAGGUCAACUAUCAUAGAAUGGAUGUCAGUUCCAUUAUUACUUUUAUGAAGCAAAUCAGGCAGUCCUUUCUAUAUGAGAACAAUCUCAUUCUGAUAUCCAUGAAUUCAGAAAAGCACCCAAAGAUAUGACUUGCCAUAUUUUUCUCCCAGUAGAAACAAUUCAUCUCAAGCAAUACCCCAAC
rnacentral:lncRNA from 1 species